GGCAAAAGGGUUGUCAGAAAGAGAUGAUGAUGGAAGGAAAAGGACUUUAAGCAGAGAGGAAAUGGCAGUAUUCUACAAACACUUUUUUGACAAAAACAUUACAAGGCAUGCCAGUUAUAACAGGGAAUGGUUUCGAAGGAAUUUCACCAUUACACUUCUGAUGGUGAGAGUAGCUCUACACAACACAUGGAGGACACUGACUGGACAGACCAAGGCAACUGGAUGAGAGAAAGGCAAAACUACAUGAAAUGCAAAUAAAGACUGUAAAUCAAUCACGA